AGAAUAGAGUAGCCUUGCACUACUGGUCUGCUAGCAAAAUCACUACGGGUUCUAAACUGAUCAUUAACAUAAAUGUGCUAACGGUUUUGCUUUUGUUGGAGGAUUAUUAGCAAGUCCACAAAAUCAGGUAAAGGUAAAGGCAAAGGAAUAGAAGUGAGCACACCAAAUGAACAUACAUGGAUUUGGGUGUACAUGGCAUAUGAUUUAAGAAAUUGUAUAUUAAUUGCAUACAUAAUGCUACCUUCAGCAAAAUUAAUCAAAUAAUGUAGUAUGAAGUCCCAUAAAAUUGUGCCACUUCUUUUCUUAGGUUAUUAUAAGCAAGAUUCCAACCA